rnacentral:rRNA from 1 species
CACGUAGGAGGCAAACGUUAUCCGGAUUUACUGGGCGUAAAGCGCGUGUAGGUGGUUCUGUAAGUAGGGCGUGAAAGCUCCCGGCUCAACUGGGAGAUGCCGUUCUAAACUGCAGAGCUUGAGGAUGGUAGAGGGAGGUGGAAUUCCAGGUGUAGCGGUGGAAUGCGCAGAUAUCUGGAGGAACACCAGUGGCGAAGGCGGCCUCCUGGACCAUUUCUGACACUCAGACGCGAAAGCUAGGGUAGCAAACGGGAUUAGAUACCCCUGUAGU